rnacentral:rRNA from 1 species
UACGAAGUUCCCGAGCGUUGUUCGGAAUCACUGGGCGUAAAGGGAGCGUAGGCGGCGCGGUAAGUCAGAUGUGAAAUCCCGGGGCUCAACCCCGGAACUGCAUCCGAUACUGCCGUGCUAGAGGAUUGGAGAGGUAGCUGGAAUUCUUGGUGUAGCAGUGAAAUGCGUGGAUAUCAAGAGGAACACUCGUGGCGAAAGCGAGCUACUGGACAACUCCUGACACUGAGGAGCGAAAGCCAGGGGAGCAAACGGG